GCGCGCUCGCUGUGGUGUGAACCGGACUUUGAGAGUGUGAUAUUUUCAGAAACCUCCUCCCUUGUUUAUUGCUGUGAUUAAGGUCCAUGCCGUUGGUCGGGGAAAUCAUUGGAUAUUUGUUGUUUACUUUCUUUAAAUGGUUUUGUUUCUGGCUGCUAAUGGUUGAUUACACAUGCAGAAAGAAUGGGAUAUGUGAAACCUUGUAUAUUUUUUUAGCAACCAAGAACGGGGACGUAAUGUUUGGCAUAUUAUCAUUGCUCAUACAGUUCUGGAUGCACCCAAGGUUUGGUCCGGGUCGGCGUCGGACAGUUCCCUUCCUUCCCUUGUAAGAAAUACAAAUAGAC
rnacentral:lncRNA from 1 species